rnacentral:rRNA from 1 species
AACACAUGCAAGUCGAGCGGUAGCACAGGGGAGCUUGCUCCCUGGGUGACGAGCGGCGGACGGGUGAGUAAUGUCUGGGAAACUGCCUGAUGGAGGGGGAUAACUACUGGAAACGGUAGCUAAUACCGCAUAACGUCGCAAGACCAAAGAGGGGGACCUUCGGGCCUCUUGCCAUCAGAUGUGCCCAGAUGGGAUUAGCUAGUAGGUGGGGUAAUGGCUCACCUAGGCGACGAUCCCUAGCUGGUCUGAGAGGAUGACCAGCCACACUGGAACUGAGACACGGUCCAGACUCCUACGGGAGGCAGCAGUGGGGAAUAUUGCACAAUGGGCGCAAGCCUGAUGCAGCCAUGCCGCGUGUGUUAAGAAGGCCUUCGGGUUGUAAAGCACUUUCAGCGAGGAGGAAGGUGGUGAGCUUAAUACGCUCAUCAAUUGACGUUACUCGCAGAAGAAGCACCGGCUAACUCCGUGCCAACAGCCGCGGUAAUACGGAGGGUGCAAGCG